rnacentral:rRNA from 1 species
AAAGUCGGCUGCACUUGAAGUCGCUGAGCCAACUCGCAAGAGAGGCAGGCGCCUAUGGUGUGGUCGAUGAUUGGGGUG